AGUUGGUGGAGUGAUUUGUCUGGUUAAUUCCGUUAACGAACGAGACCCCUGCCUGCUAAAUAGCAAACAUAGUGUUUAUCACUGUGUAUUGCUUCUUAGAGGGACGUGCGUUCUAUUAGACGCAGGAAGAUAGGGGCAAUAACAGGU
rnacentral:rRNA from 1 species